GUGCUUACUUCGGCAGCACAUAUACUAAAAUUGGAAUGAUACAGGGAAGAUUAGCAUGGCCCCUGCACAAGGAUGACACGCAAGUUCGUGAAGCAUUCCAUAUUUUU